rnacentral:rRNA from 1 species
AAUUGACGGGGGCCCGCACAAGCGUGGAGCAUGUGGUUUAAUUCGAAGCAACGCGAAGAACCUUACCAGGUCUUGACAUCCCGAUGCUAUUUCUAGAGAUAGAAAGUUACUUCGGUACAUCGGUGACAGGUGGUGCAUGGUUGUCGUCAGCUCGUGUCGUGAGAUGUUGGGUUAAGUCCCGCAACGAGCGCGACCCCUAUUGUUAGUUGCCAUCAUUCAGUUGGGCACUCUAGCGAGACUGCCGGUAAUAAACCGGAGGAAGUGGGGAUGACGUCAAAUCAUCAUGCCCCUUAUGACCUGGGCUACACACGUGCUACAAUGGUUGGUACAACGAGUUGCGAGUCGGUGACGGCGAGCUAAUCUCUUAAAGCCAAUCUCAGUUCGGAUUGUAGGCUGCAACUCGCCUACAUGAAGUCGGAAUCGCUAGUAAUCGCGGAUCAGCACGCCGCGGUGAAUACGUUCCCGGGCCUU